GUAGGUUUUUGAUCGCUAUUUUUAAAAUAGAGGAAAGUCCAUACUUGCACAAACUGUCAAAUGUUUGUAGUGUUUUUGCUUAGAUUCAGUUCUAAGAAUAGGUUUUAUAGUUACCUAUAUGACAGUAUAAAAUUCUAAGUAGUUUACUAUAUGAAUGAUAUACGCAAAGUGCCACAGUGACGAAUCAAUAAGAAAUUAUUGAGUGAAACGAGGUAAACUCCAAAAGCAAGAAACCCAAAUUAUGGUAGGGGAAUCAAUUAAUUCGAAAGAUGCAAUUGAACUAAGUAUUUAUUUACUUGGUAGAUAAAUGAUCAUUGAUACAGAAUAUGGCUUAUGACU
rnacentral:RNase_P_RNA from 1 species